rnacentral:rRNA from 1 species
UACGUAGGGUGCAAGCGUUGUCCGGAAUUAUUGGGCGUAAAGAGCUCGUAGGCGGUGUGUCACGUCGGCCGUGAAAACCUGCAGCUUAACUGUGGGCGUGCGGUCGAUACGGGCAUCACUGGAGUUCGGCAGGGGAGACUGGAAUUCCUGGUGUAGCGGUGAAAUGCGCAGAUAUCAGGAGGAACACCGGUGGCGAAGGCGGUUCUCUGGGCAUUACCUGACGCUGAGGAGCGAAAGUGUGGGGAGCGAACAGG